rnacentral:rRNA from 1 species
CCUACGGGGUGCAGCAGUGAGGAAUAUUGGUCAAUGGACGAGAGUCUGAACCAGCCAAGUAGCGUGAGGGAUGACUGCCCUAUGGGUUGUAAACUUCUUUUAUAAAGGAAUAAAACGAGGCACGUGUGCAUUUUUGCAUGUACUUUAUGAAUAAGGCUCGGCUAACUCCGUGCCAGCAGCCGCGGUAAUACGGAGGUUCCGAGCGUUAUCCGGAUUUAUUGGGGUGAAAGGUAGCGUAGAGGGGUUGUUAAGUCAGUUGUGAAAGCUUGCGGCUCAACCGUAAAAUUGCAAUUGAUACUGGCAGUCUUGAGUACAGUUGAGGUAGGCGGAAUUCGUGGUGUAGCGGUGAAAUGCUUAGAUAUCACGAAGAACCCCGAUUGCGAAGGCAGCUUACUAAACUGUGACUGACAUUGAUGCUCGAAAGUGUGGGUAGCAAACAGGAUUAGAUACCCCGGUAGUC